AAUUCAAGGUCACACAGUGUUGAGGAUGGAAUCCAGACCUGAUACAGUUAUUGGCCUGCCUUAUCUUGCAGAUAUGUGAGUGAAUUCCACACCACCCAUUUUACAGAUGAAGCCACUGAGAUACAGAGCAACUGACUAAAUAGUCACCACCCCACUCCUGGAUCCUCACAUGACACUUCUCCCAGGUGAAACAUUGUCUUGUCACUGUAUAACAUGGUAGUUGAGAAUGUGACUCUGGAGCUAGCCUGAUGGGACCUGAAUUCUGACUCAGCCACUUCCUAUGUGACCUUGGGUACGUCAUUUAACUUCUCUGUACCUCAGUUUCAUCUUUGGUAAAGUAGGGAUAAUGAUAGCACCUAUUUCAUGAGAAAUAAAUCAG
rnacentral:lncRNA from 1 species